rnacentral:rRNA from 1 species
GUGAAGUGGGAAAAGCUCAACUUUAAAAUCUGGCAGCUUCGCUGUCCGAGUUGUAGUCUCGAGAAGUGUUUUCCGCGCUGGAUCGUGUAUGAGUCUGUUGGAAUACAGCGUCAUAGAGGGUGAGAACCCCGUUCAUGACACGACUACCAGUGCUUUGUGAUACACUUUCGAUGAGUCGAGUUGUUUGGGAAUGCAGCUCAAAAUGGGUGGUAAAUUCCAUCUAAAGCUAAAUAUUGGCGAGAGACCGAUAGCAAACAAGUACCGUGAGGGAAAGAUGAAAAGCACUUUGGAAAGAGAGUUAACAGUACGUGAAAUUGUCGAAAGGGAAACGCUUGAAGUCAGACGUGCGCGGUGCGAUUCAGCCUUGGUUCGCCAGGGUGUACUUCGUACCAUUGCAGGCCAGCAUCGGUUUUGUGAGCCGGAUAAAGGUUAGAGGAAGGUAGCGGUCCAGGCCGUGUUAUAGCCUCUAACUGAAUACGGAUUGUGAGACCGAGGGACGCAGCGCGCCGCAAGGCAAAGGGUCCGCCCUUUUCGCGCUUAGGAU